UACGUAGGGGGCGAGCGUUGUCCGAAGUUACUGGGCGUAAAGCGCGCGUAGGCGGACUCUUAAGUGAGGGGUGAAAGGUUCAGGGCUCAACCCGAACACUGCCUUUCAUACUGGGGGUCUUGAGUGCGGGAGAGGCGAGUGGAAUGGUCGGUGUAGCGGUGAAAUGCGUAGAUAUCGAUCGGAACACCCAUGGCGAAGGCAGCUCGCUGGCCUGCAACUGACGCUGAGGUGCGAAAGCGUGGGGA
rnacentral:rRNA from 1 species